GUAAUAGUUUAAAGGUUAAAGCGCUAGUUUGUCAAAUUAGUAAUGUAGGUUCAAGUCCUUCUUA
rnacentral:tRNA from 1 species